rnacentral:rRNA from 1 species
CCUACGGGGGGCAGCAGUGGGGAAUCUUCCGCAAUGGGCGCAAGCCUGACGGAGCAACGCCGCGUGAGUGAAGAAGGUUUUCGGAUCGUAAAGCUCUGUUGAGAGGGACGAGAGGCAAGGCUAGGAAAUGAGCUUUGUAGGACGGUACCUUUCGAGGAAGCCACGGCUAACUACGUGCCAGCAGCCGCGGUAAUACGUAGGUGGCGAGCGUUGUCCGGAAUUAUUGGGCGUAAAGGGAGCGCAGGUGGGAAAGUAAGUCAGUCUUAAAAGUGCGGGGCUCAACCCCGUGAGGGGAUUGAAACUACUUUUCUUGAGUGCAGGAGAGGAAAGCGGAAUUCCUAGUGUAGCGGUGAAAUGCGUAGAUAUUAGGAGGAACACCAGUGGCGAAGGCGGCUUUCUGGACUGUAACUGACACUGAGGCUCGAAAGCCAGGGGAGC